UUUGGCGCUACAUUCAGCAGCUGCCAUAAAAAUAGCUAUUUAAUGUGUUAUCCACAUUAUUUAUUUUGCUUAUCUUAACUUUCUCCAUUGGGAGCAGCAGCGGGCAUGCCAAACAAUUUGCGAGAGAAUCAAUCAGCAGGUGGCCAGAGCGGAGCUGGGCCGUCUAUUUGCCGUGGUCCAUUUGUGUGGCAAGCUAUUUAGGAUAACUCCCGGCGACAUAAUCCUCGUCGAGGGCUACUGGCCGCCCACGAUAGGCGAUGAGAUUAGCCUGGACAAAGUGCUGCUGGCGGUUGAUUGACCCAUAAUCACAUAGAGAUGUGUAUUAAUAUAAAUAUAUAUAUAAAUCGGAUCGUAUAAGGAAAGACAUAUGAAAAUGGAAAUUUGUGAAAUCUUUGGGUAAGUCAAAAUUUAUAUACUUAUUUUUGUGGGAAUAUAUUUUAAGGCAAGUCAGACCAGGAAAUCGCUUGAUAUUAUAAUGCUAGUUUUUUAAAUUGUCCGUGUAAAUAAUAGAGUUUCACUUUGUUCAAGACUGCUUCCAAAUUGAAAACAGAGAUUAGAUAAUAUGAAGAAUUCUCUUUCUUGAAAUGAAAACUAUAAAUGGAAUGUUCUAAGUUGGCUUUUAGGCAGAUGUGGAAAAGUGUUUUUGUCUCUGGUUUGACUAUGGGAA